rnacentral:rRNA from 1 species
AGUCGAGCGGUAACAGGAAUUAGCUUGCUAAUUUGCUGACGAGCGGCGGACGGGUGAGUAACGCGUAGGAAUCUGCCUGGUAGUGGGGGACAACAUGUGGAAACGCAUGCUAAUACCGCAUACGCCCUACGGGGGAAAGGAGGGGAUCUUCGGACCUUUCGCUAUCAGAUGAGCCUGCGUGAGAUUAGCUAGUUGGUGGGGUAAAGGCUCACCAAGGCGACGAUCUCUAGCUGGUCUGAGAGGAUGAUCAGCCACACUGGGACUGAGACACGGCCCAGACUCCGACGGGAGGCAGCAGUGGGGAAUAUUGGACAAUGGGCGCAAGCCUGAUCCAGCCAUGCCGCGUGUGUGAAGAAGGCCUUCGGGUUGUAAAGCACUUUCAGAGGUGAGGAAGGGUGUGUAGUUAAUACCUACAUAUCUUGACGUUAGCCUCAGAAGAAGCACCGGCUAACUCUGUGCCAGCAGCCGCGGUAAUACAGAGGGUGCAAGCGUUAAUCGGAAUUACUGGGCGUAAAGCGCGCGUAGGUGGUUUGUUAAGUCGGAUGUGAAAGCCCAGGGCUCAACCUUGGAAUUGCACCCGAUACUGGCAGGCUAGAGUACGGUAGAGGGGUGUGGAAUUUCCUGUGUAGCGGUGAAAUGCGUAGAUAUAGGAAGGAACAUCAGUGGCGAAGGCGACACUCUGGACCGAUACUGACGCUGAGGUGCGAAAGCGUGGGGAGCAAACAGGAUUAGAUACCCUGGUAGUCCACGCCGUAAACGAUGUCUACUAGCCGUU